UACGGAGGGGCUAGCGUUGUUCGGAAUUACUGGGCGUAAAGCGCACGUAGGCGGCUUGUAAGUUAGAGGUGAAAGCCCGGGGCUCAACUCCGGGCCUGCAGUCGAUACGGGCAGACUGGAGUUCGGCAGGGGAGACGUGGAAUUCCUGGUGUAGCAGUGAAAUGCGUAGAUAUCAGGAGGAACACCGAGUGGCGAAGGCAGGUCUCUGGGCUGACACUGACGCUCAUGCACGAAAGCGUGGGGGAGCAAACAGGG
rnacentral:rRNA from 1 species